AAGUUGUUCAUAGCAUCUAAAGCCUUGAGAGCACAACCCGAAGUCGUUCAUGUGAACCACAACCUUGAGAUGUUCUUGGUAUCCACUACCUUCACCUAUUCAUAUCAUUUAGAGCCCUAAGCUCAUGACCUGGAUUCUUUUGUGUCAUCAACAGCCCUGAUUUGUUCAUAGCUUCUAGAGUCCUGAGCUCACGACCCAAA
rnacentral:lncRNA from 1 species